rnacentral:tRNA from 1 species
UCCCGGCUAGCUCAGUCGGUAGAGCGUCAGACUCUUAAAAAGAGUCUCUUCGGUUACGAAGAGUUAUCUGAAUGUCGUGGGUUCGAGCCCCACGUUGGGAG